UACGGGGGGGGCAAGCGUUGUUCGGAAUUACUGGGCGUAAAGGGCUCGUAGGCGGCCAACUAAGUCGGAUGUGAAAUCCCCAGGCUUAACCUGGGAAUUGCAUCCGAUACUGGAUGGCUUGAAUCCGGGAGAGGGAUGCGGAAUUCCAGGUGUAGCGGUGAAAUGCGUAGAUAUCAAGUGGAACACCAGUGGCGAAGGCGAGUCUCUGGACAUUUCCUGACGCUGAGGCACGAAAGCCAGGGGAGCAAACGGG
rnacentral:rRNA from 1 species